rnacentral:rRNA from 1 species
AUUGAACGCUGGCGGCAGGCCUAACACAUGCAAGUCGAACGAGUGGCGGCCGGGUGAGGAAUGUAGGGGAAACUGACUGAUGGAAGGGGAUAAAUACUGGGAACGGUAGCUAAUACCGCAUACCAUCGGAUGUGCCCAGAUGGGAGUAGCUAGGAGGUGGGGUAACGGCUCACCUAGGGGACGAGCCCUAGCUGGUCUGAGAGGAUGACCGGCCACACUGGGACUGAGACACGGUCCAUACUCCUACGGGAGGCAGCAGGGGGGAAUAUUGCACACUUGGCGCAAUCCUGAUGCAGCCAUGCCGCGUGUAUGAAGAAGGCCUUCGGGUUGUAAAGUACUUUCAGCGGGGAGGCGUUACCCGCAGAAGAAGCACCGGCUAACUCCGUGCCAGCAGCCGCGGUAAUUC